rnacentral:rRNA from 1 species
AGAGAGAGACAUGCGCGCAUAUCAAUAAGCGGAGGAAAAGAAACUAACAAGGGAUUCCCCUAGUAACGGCGAGUGAAGCGGGAAGAGCUCAAAUUUGAAAUCUUAAAGGGUUUCCCUUUACGAAUUGUAGUUUAAAGAAGUGUUUUCUGUUGAGGUUUUGGUAAAAGUUCUUUGGAAUAGGACAUCAUAGAGGGUGAGAAUCCCGUAUUUGACCUUUACUUUCAACUUUGUGAUACACUUUCAAAGAGUCGGAUUGUUUGGGAAUGCAGUCCAAAAUGGGUGGUAAAUUUCAUCUAAAGCUAAAUAUUGGCGAGAGACCGAUAGCGAACAAGUACCGUGAGGGAAAGAUGAAAGGAACUUUGAAAAGAGAGUUAAACAGUACGUGAAAUUGUCAAAAGGGAAGCGUUUGACACCAGUGUUGUUUUUCUGAAAAUCAAUUAAAGAACUGUUUAUGCUAAGCUGUUUAGACUUUAUCAGCUAUCUGUUUAGUUUUGAGCUUUUCUUUAAUGCACUUUUCAGUUAACAAGUCAACAUCAAUUUCUUUUGCUGUAAAAAAGCUUGAGGAAGGUGGCUUGAGAUUCGUCUUAAGUGUUUAUAGCCUCUUGCCUAUGCAGUCGGAGAGAUUGAGGUCUGCAGCGUAGAUCCUUCGGGGCUAAAUGCAUUUGUGCUAAGUUAUAGCAUUUUAUAGACAACUUGUUGACUAUGAUUUGUCUUGUAGCUUACUCGCUUAUGUUAUUUUACCUACGCUUAGGAUGUUGACGCAUGAGAUAUACGC